rnacentral:miRNA from 10 species
CAUAUACAUGCAUAUAUACAUACAUGUAUAUGUAUAUAUACAUACACAUGCAUAUAUACAUACAUGUAUAUGUAUAUAUACAUACACAUGCAUAUAUACAUACAUGUAUAUAUACA